GAGGAGGAGGAGGAGGAGGAGGAGGAGGAGGAGGAGUCCGGCCUGAUCCUCUCACCCAAGAGCAGGAGGAGGAGGAGGAGGAGGAGGAGGAAGAGGAGGAGGAGGAGGAGGAGGAGGAGGAGGAGUCCGGCCUGAUCCUCUCACCCUAGAGCAGGAGGAGGAGGAGGAGGAGUCCGGCCUGAUCCUCUCACCCUAGAGCAGGAGGAGGAGGAGGAGGAGUCCGGCCUGAUCCUCUCACCCUAGAGCAGGAGGAGGAGGAGGAGGAGGAGGAGGAGUCCGGCCUGAUCCUCUCACCCUAGAGCACCCGGCCCUCCUGCUCUAGGGCGUGAGGAGCAGUGAGGAGGUGGAGGCAUCCGGAGUGAGGAGCAGGGAGGAGGAGGAGGAGGCGUCCAGCGUAAGGAGCAGUGAAGAGGAGGAGGAGGAGGCGUCCAGCGUGAGGAGCAGUGAAGAGGAGGAGGAGGAGGCGUCCAGCGUUAGGAGCAGUGAAGAGGAGGAGGAGGAGGCGUCCAGCGUGAGGAGCAGUGAAGAGGAGGAGGCGUCCGGCUUGAGGGGCAGGCAGGCGGCACAUGGUGUUAGGAGACGCCUCGGAGAGGUGUUUGAUAUUUUGUUGCUUGUGGUUGCCAGGGAAACAGGAGGAGCCAGAGGAAGUGUGAGAUGUUCUUUCCUGCUUCCUGUCGUGUGUCGCCCUCAUCUGAACUCUGACGUCAGUGUGACUGACUCCCCCCCCCCCCCCCCCCCACCCCCCCCCCAUGUUGAUGAAACAAAUACAAACGAUUGUAUUGAUCUGGGAUCAGUAGAAGGGAAGGAAUGUAUUGCACGUCCUGGUUGUUGAAAUGUGAACGGUUUUGUCUGUUGGGAAGCUGAACUGAGAUCGGUCUCAACAUUUGUUUUAUGCAAUCGGCUCAUCGGAGUGUUUCAUCCAGUACCUGAAUGUAUGGCUUUCCUGAGAUGGCUUCUGUUCUGUUGGGCUUAUCUUUGGUAUUUGCUGUGACCCACUGUUACUACGUCACACAGCCAUUCCACGGUCGGUCGUGUUCCCCUAAAGCGAGCAUGUUUAUGAAGUACAUGCAAUGGUUUGUUACUAUUCUACAGAAAAUUUCUUCAACUAAUAUAGUGAUGACUUAGCUUUUGCCAAGGGCAACUAAAUUAAGAUUUGUGAUAUUCAAGCUAUUGUAUCAGUGAAGUUUAACUUUAUAUUUUGUUAUUUAUUAUUUUUAUAUAAUUUUCUUGCAUUUUCAAGGUAUUUUAAGGUAUCUAUAUUUGAAAUUAUUCUAAAGUUAUAUGGGUAACAUUUACCUACUAGUACAGUCAUAGGCUAUUCAGUGUGGGAAGAGAAACAUUCACUAACUAGCGAUAGGGGUCAUUCCUUGGUGCCAUUUGUAAUUGUCCCAAAAAGUAUGAGGCAAAAUUAGAGGUGCCAAAGAGGUUUCUUCUUCCAAAUAUAUCACACGUAAUUUUCAAUUAUCCAACUUAAAGCUUGAUUUCAAUUAUGUUGACAUAUCAGACAUGUACCGGAACUAAUUAACUUUGGCUUUAUUUACGACAUUGAUGGUUAUUCGUUGCAAAGUAUGAUACUAAAUACUUAUUUAUAUUCAAGAUAGGAAUAAUGCACAUCAGGCAUUGGGAGAUGGACAAAGGCUUAUUUAAAUGUGGAGGAGACACUUAAACUGCCAGAAAUGUAUUUUUUACAACAGAAAAGCCAAACAGGAAAUUCAAGAGAUACUGUUAUUGAAUGUGUUCAUUUACUGCAGUAUGAAGUGGAACCAGAGGUUAAUCGUGUUGCCAUUUUUCAUAUUAUGUAACACUUUUCUUUUUUAUAUAAAUAAGCUGGAGACUAAUUAUUGCCUGUGAACUCUGAUUGAGAGUUUGCGAUACAAUUUUUGCAUGGCUUUAUUUUUCUUGUAUGUAUUAUGGUUUGUUCAACUACUGACUGUAUCGUCUUAAAUGUUCAUUUGUUUUAUGCGAGUGUGGUUUAAGUUUGAGCCUUUAACAACCAAAACCCCACACUGCAAAAAAUAAAGUACAAAUAUUUAAUUUUC